CUCUCUCUUCUGCAACUCUCUCUUUCUCUCUUCUGCAACCUCCUCUUUCACCACCUCUAGACCACCAAAUGGCGAGCUGCGAGCAUCGAUAGACUCGUCUCUUCCUCCUUAUCACGCAUGUGGGAGUUGUUUACGACGAUUUGGCCGGAAAUGUGGAGAUCGAAGCCAACAUUUUUACUGUAGCAAAUUAGUCAACGCCGAUUUCCGGCCACCUCCAGUCAUAAACCCAGGUCCAUUAGAAGCGCCUUAAGCCGCUCUUCAUGCUCGCCAAGUCUCAUAACCCAGAUCGAAGCAUGGAGGAAGAAAGCAUAAUUGGAAAAUUUCACUGUACAUCGGAGUGCUUAAUUGUUCGACUACUUCAAGGUGAUUGACGGUUUGAGUUGGUGGACGAUUGUGGAUCGUAUUUUGAGCUGAAUUGAAGACGCAGCGGGAUUAUCGAGCGGGUAAUCCUACAGGACAGGAGAACCAGGACGGUGAUCGCGCGGUUAGAGCAAUUGUUAGAGUUUUACAACAAUUGUAAGUUGUGAGGUGUGUUAUGCUCAUUUGAGCUUUAUAAUAUAUUGUGAGAGUGAAUUGUAAUAAUGAACUCGAAGUUUCGAGAUUUGGAUUUUGUAAUUGUAAUUAUUCAGGUUUCGGAUUUGAAUUUAUCAUUCAAAAUCCGGGGCGUGACAGUUUGGUAUCAGAGCGUAAGGUGCAUAUUUGGUGAUGUGUCAAUACCUUCCGAGUGAUGGCCCGUCUGCAGCGGAUCCCCAUCGUGUGCUCUUUGGUAUUGGCUAAGUCAUUGGGUAUGCGUGAGUGUUGGGAGUUGUUUAGGCCGCUAGGUCGUUUAGGGAACGUGAAUACAUUCCCUAUAGUAUUGACUUGGUUAAUAUGAAUUUGUAUUUGACUUAUACUGUGUUUUAAGUGUUAUACAAGUAUUAGCCAAGCAUACUAUACUCCUUAGGUGAUGGAUAUUCGAAGGGGUUGUACUUAGAACCUUACAGUUGUCUUGUAGGUUCGUAUGAGAAUAAGUUCAGUGGCCGCGAGUUACAAUCCUUGAGGAAUAGGAACCUCUUGAUUCAACUCUGUUAAGUCAACGAGGAUUGUUUUAUGGAAAUGAGGUUCUUUUGAUUGUUGAAGUGUUUGGUUGAAGGCAUGGUCUGGACCUAUGCUCGUCUGUAAUGUGGAUACGAGUAUUAAUCGAUGGUAAUUUUGCCUUUUUAAGUUGGAUAUACUAAUGUUCUUGAAUAGAUUCUUGACUCAUGUGGAGUUGUGAGUAGUGUUGCGGUUAGGGAAGGAAUUAUUGCGGUUACUUCUUCCUUGUGCUUGUAAGUUGUUAAGCAGGGUUUAAGGUGCGAGACAAGAAUUUUAUUUUGUGCUCGAUGGUUAGAGAGGAGAGACCAUU